UCCGGUUUGUUUCCGGCGGUCUCCCUAGAUAUGCAACUAAGGACAAGGGUUGCGCUCGUUGCGGGACUUAACCCAACAUCUCACGACACGAGCUGACGACAGCCAUGCAACAUCUGUUCUCUUGUCCCGAAGGAGGCUGUUCUUUCAAACAGUUGCAAGAGAAUGUCAAGCCCUGGUAAGGUUAUUCGCGUCGCAUCGAAUUAAACCACACGCUCCGCUGCUUGUGCGGGUCCCCGUCAAUUCCUUUGAGUUUUAGUCUUGCGACCGUACUCCCCAGGCGGGCCACUUAAUGCGUUAGCUGCGGCACGGAAGGGGUCAACACCCCCCACACCUAGUGGCCAUCGUUUACUGCUAGGACUAC
rnacentral:misc_RNA from 1 species